rnacentral:rRNA from 1 species
UACAGAGGGUGCGAGCGUUAAUCGGAAUUACUGGGCGUAAAGCGCACGUAGUCGGCUUUGCAAGUCGGGUGUGAAAUCCCCGGGCUCAACCUGGGAACUGCAUCCGAGACUGCAUUGCUAGAGUAUGGGAGAGGUAAGCGGAAUUUCUGGUGUAGCAGUGAAAUGCGUAGAUAUCAGAAGGAACAUCAGUGGCGAAGGCGGCUUCCUGGACCAAUACUGACGAUCAGGUGCGAAAGCGUGGGGAGCAAACAGG